GCCAGGCAUGGGGGCGCACACCUGUAAUCCCAGACACACUGGAGGCUGAGGCAGGAGGAUCACAAAUUUGAGACCAGCCUCAGCAACUUAGCAAGACCCUGUCUCAA
rnacentral:sRNA from 1 species